GACGAACGCUGGCGGCGUGCUUAACGCAUGCAAGUCGAACGGAAAGGCCCUGCUUUUGUGGGGUGCUCGAGUGGCGAACGGGUGAGUAACACGUGAGUAACCUGCCCUUGACUUUGGGAUAACUUCAGGAAACUGGGGCUAAUACCGGAUAGGAGCUCCUGCUGCAUGGUGGGGGUUGGAAAGUUUCGGCGGUUGGGGAUGGACUCGCGGCUUAUCAGCUUGUUGGUGGGGUAGUGGCCUACCAAGGCUUUGACGGGUAGCCGGCCUGAGAGGGUGACCGGCCACAUUGGGACUGAGAUACGGCCCAGACUCCUACGGGAGGCAGCAGUGGGGAAUAUUGCACAAUGGGCGGAAGCCUGAUGCAGCAACGCCGCGUGCGGGAUGACGGCCUUCGGGUUGUAAACCGCUUUCGCCUGUGACGAAGCGUGAGUGACGGUAAUGGGUAAAGAAGCACCGGCUAACUACGUG
rnacentral:rRNA from 1 species